GAGUCGCGCGCCCUGGACCCGAAGCGGGAUGAUCUAGCCCUGGGCAGGUUGAAGCGCGGGUAAGACCGCGUGGAGGACCGAACCACCUGGGUUGAAAACCGGGGGGGAUGACCUGGGGCUAGGGGGUGAAAGGCCAAUCAAAUUCCGUGAUAGCUGGUUCUCUCCGAAAUGCAUUUAGGUGCAGCGUCGGUUGAUUGCAUCGCGGGGGUAGAGCUACUGGAUGCUUGCGGGCCCGUGUCGGGUACCAAUAGCAGCCAAACUCCGAAUACCGUGGAUGUGUAUUCCGGCAGUGAGUCGGCGGGGGAUAAGCUCCGUCGUCGAGAGGGAGACAGCCCAGAUCGUCGUCUAAGGUCCCGAAGCGUGUGCUAAGUGGGAAAAGGAUGUGGAGUCGCAUAGACAGCCAGGAGGUUGGCUCAGAAGCAGCCAUCCUUGAAAGAGUGCGUAACAGCUCACUGGUCUAGUGGUUCCGCGCCGACAAUGUAGCGGGGCUC
rnacentral:rRNA from 1 species